rnacentral:rRNA from 1 species
CACUAUGCCUAGCCAUAAACAUAGACAGUCCACGUACCCCACUGUCCGCCCGGGUACUACGAGCAUCAGCUUAAAACCCAAAGGACUUGGCGGUGCUUUAAACCCACCUAGAGGAGCCUGUUCUAGAACCGAUAAUCCCCGUUCAACCUCACCCUUCCUUGUUCUUCCCGCCUAUAUACCACCGUCGUCAGUUUACCCUGUGAAGGUCAAACAGUAAGCACAAUCGGCAUAGCCCAAAACGUCAGGUCGAGGUGUAGCGUAUGGAAGGGGAAGAAAUGGGCUACAUUCCCUGGUACCAGGGCAUACGGAUUAUAUGCUGAAACGCAUAUCUGAAGGAGGAUUUAGCAGUAAGCAGGAAGUAGAGUGUCCUGCUGAAACCGGCUCUGAAGCGCGCACACACCGCCCGUCACUCUCCCCAAGCUAAGAUUUUUAACAUAUCUAAAACCCUAUAACUGUAAAGGGGAGGCAAGUCGUAA